GCGCACCAGCAUGGCACAUGUAUACAUAUGUAACUAACCUGCACAAUGUGCACAUGUACCCUAAAACUUAAAGUAUAAUAAAAAAAAAAAAAGGAAAAAAAAGAAACUUAAAAAAAAAAAAUUGCUGAAACUCAGCUGGAUAUGGUGGCUCACACCUGUCAUCCCAGAACUUAGGAAGGCUGAAGUGGGCAGAUUACCUGUAGUCAGGAGUUCGAGACCAGCCUGGCCAACGGGUGAAACCCUGUCUCUACUAAAAAUACAAAAACUAGCCAGGCAUGGUGGCAUGUGUCUGUAAUCCCAGCUACUCAGGAGACUGAGGGAUGAGAAUUGCUUGAACCCAGGAGGUAGAGGCUGCAGUGAGCCAAGAUUGCAACACUGUACUCCUGCCUGGGAGACAGAGCGAGACCCUGUCUCAAAAAGAAAAAAAAAAGAAAAAAGAAAAAAAUUGCUGAAACUCUACUAGCAGAGUCGGAGAUGCUCUGGACCCUGCUAGCCCGGUAGAUGGUAUGAAAUAGAGAGACAGGGGAGACAGCCCUGGGUUUUCCAAGUGCAGAUGAAGUUUCUGUAGGGGCAUAGGCAAAGUAGCAAGGGUCUCUGAAAAUGGGGAGCCUCCACGUGUGCGAAGCUUGUCAUGGGGUCUGAGAUCAUUGAGUUCCUGAUCCUGUGUUGAAGUUUUGUUGGUGGAAAUGAGGGUGAAGCCAACCAGCUAAUGGAAAAGCCUGGUGAAAGGAAUGUGUGGGAAGUUCGCUGACCUGGGUUUCAGCUGCAUCUCUGACUUUAUCUAAGUUGUCAAAAAGACCACCAGGAUGGCUACAUCGUAGAAAGGAGAGCUUUAUUGGUGAUAUCAGUUUGCAAGCUGGGAAGAGAGGGUUUUCAGCAUGGACCGAAGGUGCUCUCUCUUUGAAGAGGGGAAGGAGAGGUUGGGUUUUAUGCCUCACUGGGCCUGUAUCAUACAUAUUCAGCAGAUGGGGUGAAAGCUAUGCCUAUUUGUGAGGGAGCCGUGCACAGGUGUAAUUCGUAAACAUCUAUGCAACAUACAUCCCAUGCUCUCUUUGGGGUUGAGUUUUAGAAUUAAAAUGAGAUGCAAUUUGGCUCUUUACGUCAAAAGGCGAACUAUAGGGCACAGAGACAACUUAUGCAUAGCCUGUAUAAGUUGCUGAAACUGGCUUGACAUCUGCAAUAUCUUAUCAGAGAAGAAUGUUUGUAAGUCUCAUCCUCUGUCCAAUCAGAGUUGUAGUGGUCUGGGUUGUAAGUGGGGUUGACAGCUCAUAUUGUUAGUGAGUUCAGCCAUAGGAACUUAGAUAUUUGCCAUGCCAGCCCGGCCCUGAACCUGUGAUAGUGGGUAACUUGGUUUCUUUAACCGUAGGGUGUCAGUUGAUAAAUGAGCAUCUAUUUUGUUCUCUCUAAUCACAUCUACAAUGGAGUGGGAACUCUAGAACAUGAGCUGUAAACACAGAAGUCCUGGAGCAGCCAGAGAAGGCCCAGGAAAGUCCAUGGAGAAGCCCACACUUCUGCUUCCCAGAGCUGAGCUGAAGGAGGAAUGCAGAGUAGUAUAUACUCAGCUGCUCCAGCAUCUGCCAUCUUGCUUAAUAGAACUUCUAAAAGGAGAAGAAGAAGAAAAGUAAAACAUAAACUAUUUUGCAGACUGGGAUGGGGGAAGGCUUAUAGUCUCCAUGCUCAUCAGAAGUGGGCACAAUCCAUCUACCAAACCCCUCUCCUCUGGUCCCCCAACAAAAGGCCGUUCCUUACCACCCUUUAAAAUCAGCACCUUGCUCUGCCAACUCGCAGCUCAAAAUGCCCAGUCGGAGUGUCUUAUGAGCGCAGUGAAUUAACUGCCGAGUCGAGAAGAACAGGCUUAUUGAAGUCGUCAAAGCUGAAAGCCUGUUUGAACCGUGAUGUGUCCUUGCCGAGCAUUUUAUGAAUAUGCAGAAUCAAAUAGGAGCUAGUAGAAGCCAGAGGGAGCAGGCAGAAAGGAUCUCUUUAAAAUCCCAGCCAAGGCAGGCACACAUUUCAACUCAUUAAAACACACAACAGACUGUUACAGACACUUUCAAAAAGAGCUUUCUACUGAGUAAUAUCCUAGAGGAUGUAUUUUUUUUUUUUUGUAGAAAGUUUCCCGGGGCAAUACCAAAUGUCCUAAGGCAGGUGUUUGUCUCAAAGGUCUAGACAGAAGUGAAGGGCAGCCUUUCUGUCGGUGACAAAUCAGAUCCAUGAUCUGGGCUUUCAAAAGACACUUCCCUCCGUUCCCCAGUUAUCCGUCUAAUCUCCCAGAUUCAUUUACACUUUUCAGUUUGAUGGUCUUCACUUGACAGCAUGGUCCAUAUGCUUGCCGCGUGUGAUGGAAAUGGUUCUGCUUGAACUCCCUUAGUUUUAAUUUUCUAAUUUUAGGGUUGGCUCUGGGUUUUUUCACCACUGGCAAAAAGUGAAGGACUCCCUCUCCUUUCUCACACACACCUUAGUGGAAUGGUCACGCUCCCUCCCUGAGAACUGAAGUUCCUUCCUAGAGUCACCUUGAAGAUUUCUCAGUAAAAAUCUAUCACUGUGCAGAUCCUUCUUACCACUUACUUAGGUGGGAGACUCCUCCCUGAAGCUCCUUCUCACAUGAGGUGGCAUCGGAUGCUGUCAUAUUCUUUUUCUUUUUUUUUUUGAGACGGAGUCUCACUCUGUCACCCAGGCUGGAGUGUAGUGGCGCGAUCUCGGCUCACUGCAAGCUCCGCCUCCUGGGUUCAUGCCAUUCUCCUGCCUCAGCCUCCAGAGUAGCUGGGACUACAGGAGCCCAGCACCACGCCUGGCUAAUUUUUUGUAUUUUUUAGUAGAGACGGGGUUUCACCGUGUUAGCCAGGAUGGUCUCAAUCUCCUGACCUUGUGAUCCGCCUGCCUCGGCCUCCCAAAGUGCUGGGAUUACAGGUGUGAGCCACCGCGCCCAGCCAGAAUAUUAACUUUUAAGGCAGCUGAUCAUUUUUAUUCCCGAUUAAUGCUCUAACUUCCUAACUGGCCUUGCUGUGAAUGAUUCCACCAUUAUUUUCUGAUGCUGGUCGGUUUUUCGGUGUUUUCCUUCUUUAGUUGUAUUGACAUGCUUUAUAUAUACUUACAGCCUUUAGUGAGUUCUUAUACAUAUUUCCCGGUGCAUAUUUGUUCCCCUACAGAGAGGAAGCUCCUUACUCUAUGAUAGGUAUUGUUCAAAGCAUUUUACAAAUACAAUCAUGCACCGUGUAACGACAUUUCGGUCAACAAUGGACUGCAUAUGUGAUGGGGGUCCCAUAAGAUUAUGAUUCUGGAGCUGGAAAAUUCCUACCACCUGGUAUUUACUAUACUGUACUUUUUAUUGUUAUUUUAGGGGGGUAAUUCUAAGGCAGGUCCUUUAGGAGGUAUCCAGAAGGCAUUGUUAUCAUUGGAGAUGACAGCUUUGUGUGUGUUAUUGCCACUGAAGAACUUCCAGUGGGACAAGAUGUGAAUGUGGAAGACAGUGAUAUUGAUGAUCCUGACAGUGUGUAGGCCUAGGCCCAGAUUUGUGUUUGGGUGUUAGUUUUUAACAAAAAAGUUUAAAAAGUAAAAGAAAAAAGAACUUUUAUUUAAAAAAAAACUUACAGAAUAAGGAUACAAAGAAAAUAUUUUUGUACAACUAUACACUGUUUUUGUGUGUGGGUUUUUUUUUUUUUGAGAUGGAGUCUCGCUCUGUCAGUCAGGCUGGAAUGCAGUGGCGCCAUCUCAGCUCAAUGCAACCUCCGCCUCCUGGGUUCAAGUGAUUCUCCUGCCUCAGCUUCCCGAGUAACUGAGACUACAG
rnacentral:lncRNA from 1 species